UACGAAGGGGGCUAGCGUUGCUCGGAAUCACUGGGCGUAAAGGGUGCGUAGGCGGGUCUUUAAGUCAGGGGUGAAAUCCUGGAGCUCAACUCCAGAACUGCCUUUGAUACUGAGGAUCUUGAGUUCGGGAGAGGUGAGUGGAACUGCGAGUGUAGAGGUGAAAUUCGUAGAUAUUCGCAAGAACACCAGUGGCGAAGGCGGCUCACUGGCC
rnacentral:rRNA from 1 species